GCAUUGGUGGUUCAGUGGUAGAAUUCUUGCCUGCCAUGCGGGAGGCUCGGGUUUGUAUCCUAGCCCAUGCA
rfam:Salmo salar isolate Sally breed double haploid chromosome ssa01, whole genome shotgun sequence.